GGCGGGUUAGCUCAGGUGGUAGAGCAGCGGAAUCAUAAUCCGCGUGUCGGGGGUUCGAGUCCCUCACCCGCUA
rnacentral:tRNA from 1 species